AGGCUACACAGUCAGGCAUCUCUGCACUGUCGGGGCAUGGGAAGGCCUCCCCUGAGAAGAGGAGAAUCUCUUGAACCCGGAGGCGGAGGUUGAGGUUAUUACUUUCUUGCCUAUGGUGUUAAAGGGACUGUCAACCUCAGCCCAUUUUGUGGUCAUAAAUCAGCAACUUGGAGAAAGUACCUGGUAUGUUAUGCAGAAAUAGAAGCCUUGAGCCCAGUGGCCCAGCAUCUUAUGUAACUGGAUAAGAGUGACUUCAGACUUCACGUGACGCCGGUGCCGGGCGAACAUGGCGGCGGCCACUGGACCCUCGUAUGGCUGGGGACGGAAAUCCUGAAAGGUGCGACUGGCGCUCUUUGCCUUGAACCGGCAGCGGCCGCUGUGAGCGGCUGCGGAAGAACCCGGCUGUGCAGGCCGGCUCAGUGGUGGUCCUGCAGGGCGGGGAGGAGACUCAGCGCUACUGCACCUACACCGGGGUCCUCUUCCGCCAGGAGUCCUUCUUUCACUGGGCGUUCGGUGACACCGAGCCAGGCUGCUACAGCGUCAUCGACGCUAACACUGGGAAGUGGGCCGUGUUUGUGCCCAGGCUUCCUGCCAGCCAUGCCACCUGGAUGGGAAAGAUCCAUUCCAAGGAGCACUUCAGGGAGAAGUAUGUCGUGGUCGACGUCCAGGACGCAGAUGAGAUUGCCAGUGUCCUGACGUCACAGAAGCCCUCUGUCCUCCUCACUUUGCGUGGCGUCAACACGGACAGCAGCAGCGUCUGCAAGGAGGCCUCCUUCGAGGGCAUCAGCGAGUUCAAAGUCAACAACACCAUUCUUCACCCAGAGAUCGUUGAGUGCCAAGUGUUUAAGACGGACAUAGAGCUGGAGGUUCUGCACUACACCAAUAAAAUCUCCAGUGAGGCCCUCCGUGAGCAUUGGUUUGUUCAAGUCGGGAUCCACAGAGUCUAUACAUUGCACUUGGCUGAGAUUGGAAGCAGCAUGUCGUGAAGCUGAGCUCUGGGGAGAUCUCACCCUUGUUUACAAACUGCUCGACCUUCCCUCCACCCCCAUCCCAAGAUCCUGGAUUGGCCUUGCUGCCGCCUCCUGUGUGGACCAGGGUGGCUCUUGGAGAGAUGGGCUAGAAGCCAGAGGCCACAGCCGAGAGCGCCAGGAAGCUCUCAGCCAGGAGCAGCCACCCGCACGAGUGCGCUGGGAAGCUUUCAGCCAGGAGCAGCCACCCGCAGGGUGCUGAGUGGCAUCGGGUCAGCGUGUGUGCCUGCUGUGCUCAUGCUGUGCACCUGCCGUGUGCGCCCACCUGUGGCUGCCCACAGGACAUACAGAGGGGAGAUAGUGUCCGCCGGGGAAGCCAUCUGAUCUGUGGGCCCCUGAGAGCUUAGAGCAGGGGGGUGGGGAUGAGGACUGAGAUAGCAAGAACGAGAGAUGGAGUCUAUUCCUGAAGGGACCGAGUGGGGAGA